AGGUUGGGUAACACUAACUGGAGGACCGAACCGACUAAUGUUGAAAAAUUAGCGGAUGACCUGUGGCUGGGGGUGAAAGGCCAAUCAAACCGGGAGAUAGCUGGUUCUCCCCGAAAGCUAUUUAGGUAGCGCCUCGUGAAUUCAUCUCCGGGGGUAGAGCACUGUUUCGGCUAGGGGGCCAUCCCGGCUUACCAACCCGAUGCAAACUGCGAAUACCGGAGAAUGUUAUCACGGGAGACACACGGCGGGUGCUAACGUCCGUCGUGAAGAGGGAAACAACCCAGACCGCCAGCUAAGGUCCCAAAGUCAUGGUUAAGUGGGAAACGAUGUGGGAAGGCCCAGACAGCCAGGAUGUUGGCUUAGAAGCAGCCAUCAUUUAAAGAAAGCGUAAUAGCUCACUGGUCGAGUCGGCCUGCGCGGAAGAUGUAACGGGGCUAAACCAUGCACCGAAGCUGCGGCAGCGACACUGUGUGUUG
rnacentral:rRNA from 1 species